UGUGCACUCACAGCUCUUGGCAAAAAAGGAGCGAUCCAAAUCAUUAUCAGUGUUUGGGAGUUUGGUUUCUCCAAAGCUCCGGGGUGCCCAGCAUUCAUUUGAGACAGCCUUGGAGAUAGUUCUCGAAAUAGCAAACAGGCGGUCUUUGAUGUUAUCUGCCUUUGCUCAAGUCCGGAAAGAAAUGGAAUGUAACUUGGAUUGAUAUACAUCUUUUCUGAUCGUCAGAAUUGGCCAAUAUGAUCCACUUAAUGACACUGAUUUUUCUCUCAACACUCGAACCUGUCAAACAGAUUGGGUUUUAAAUCCAUCAUCAGGGACUUGUGGCUUCAUGUGUCUCCUUAUGUCCCUCCCUUUCCUGUUGGUACAAAGUGAUUUUUUUUUGGUAGGACAAAGUGGAUUCGCAUGUGCUUGAUUCUUGUUGCUCAUCGUCCAAUACAGCAAAAAGCAGGAGACUGUUAAUUGGCCUAUUGACUCAUAAUUUAAUAAUGUUGCUUAUCAAAAAGGCAAAAAAUAAUUAUGUCAUUUCGUUAUUCCUUUAAAAUGAAGUGGGUGGUCAAUGAGACUAAACUCUGCCCAGCCUUAUCUCAA